GCAAAACAUGAAGCAUGUUUCAACAUUGAUUUUCUCUGUGUGUGUAUGUGUGUGUGUGUGUGUGUGUGUGUGUGUGUUUUGGCAGCUAUGAUAAUCUGUUUCUUUGUUUUCAAACAAAAAGCAUUGCCUGCCCGGACUUGACUUUCUAAUUCUUGGUCCAUGCUAUGUAUUGAUGCUGCCAAAUAACACAAAUUGGAGAAAUUAGGUAACUAUUGCUGCUGAUGAAAUUGAAAUUGAGCGAGGUAAGUUGUUAAAGGAAGGAUGAAUAUUUGCUGCCCUGAUGUUGGGCUGAAGGAUUAGUCUCUUCUGUUUUGGAGAGCGUUAAGACCCGGGAAAACAUCUACAAGAGGCUAACGUUUUUCAGUAUGAAGAAGUGAACCCAGACCCUGCUGGUUGAUAGGCAAGGAUCCAAGCUCCAUCCCCCAUUUAUUUCAUUGGGAAACUGAGUCUUGCUGUAUUUCCCAGGCUGGCCUCGAACUUGUGAUCUUCCUGCCUCAAUCUCCAAGAUGGCUGGGCAUAUGAGCAUGUGCUACCACACCCUGCAAGGCUUUCUUCUUGAGAAGGGUUACUGGGGAUUGAACCAAAGGCCUUCACACUGAGCUGUGACCCCAGCCUCCCCUGUCCUCUUGUUUAUUUUCACACAGGUUAUCACUAAGUCACGAAGUUGCCUUGGCUGGGCUCCAGUUUCUGAUCCUCCUACACCAGCCUUCCAGAGGGCUGGGAUUACAGGCCAGUGCCACAGUGCCCUGCAAGAACUUUAAAAGAAGGACAUUUUGUUGGCUUGGUGAUAGACUAGGGAGCUGUACAUCUUCUCAUUAGCUGACAAUGAGUCAUAAAAAACAAAUCCUAUGGGGCUCCAAAGCAGAGAAGAAAGUAAUAGAACGGGAAUGAGAAGAGUGAGGACAGUG
rnacentral:lncRNA from 1 species